rnacentral:rRNA from 1 species
UACGUAGGGUGCAAGCGUUGUCCGGAAUUAUUGGGCGUACAGAGCUCGUAGGCGGUUUGUUGCGUCGGCUGUGAAAUCCCGAGGCUCAACCUCGGGUCUGCAGUCGAUACGAGCAAACUAGAGUGUUGCAGGGGAGACUGGAAUUCCUGGUGUAGCGGUGAAAUGCGCAGAUAUCAGGAGGAACACCGGUGGCGAAGGCGGGUCUCUGGGCAACAACUGACGCUGAGGAGCGAAAGCGUGGGGAGCGAACAGG